rnacentral:rRNA from 1 species
UACGUAGGGCGCAAGCGUUAUCCGGAAUUAUUGGGCGUAAAGAGCUCGUAGGCGGUUUGUCGCGUCUGCUGUGAAAGACCGGGGCUCAACUCCGGUUCUGCAGUGGGUACGGGCAGACUAGAGUGAUGUAGGGGAGACUGGAAUUCCUGGUGUAGCGGUGAAAUGCGCAGAUAUCAGGAGGAACAUCGAUGGCGAAGGCAGGUCUCUGGGCAUUAACUGACGCUGAGGAGCGAAAGCAUGGGGAGCGAACAGG